rnacentral:lncRNA from 1 species
UGUCGUGUUGUGUAAAUAAACUUUGAUGUAUGAACGUAUUAUCAGGAAAGAUGUUGAUUUCAAGCGAUCUUGUUCCGUUUAUAUUAACUCAGUGUCUAGACUAAACAAGUUCAAUUGGUGUUAGUUCUUUGUUUCAAGUAAACUCGUCAUUAGUAUCGCAGAUCUGGUAAGUUAUGUGAGCACCAAACGUUUUUCUCCGUAGUCGAAAUAUGAAAAUAAAUAAAAUACUGUUCAAAACAAUGUAUAAAUAGCAUAUAUCAUUAAACUAUAAAACAUUAUCAUAGUUAAUCAAGCUACAUAAAUAUUACUAUCUAUAUAUAUAUAUAUAUAUAUUGCAUGACUGGGACGAUUAUUAUCAAUUUCCAUCCACACAACUUCUUUUCUAUAUACUCAUUGUUGUAAUUGCAGAAAACACAGAGAGACAAUACAGGUGAUUUUCAUAAGCUAGAAAUAUCAACAUUUGUUCACCGUAUUUUAUCGUCGUAGAUCUGUACUCCUUAACCUUUCCCCAUCUGUAAUGCAAUAUUUAAUUGUCCAAGACAAAAUUAAAUGGAUAAGGUCAAUGCAUGUGUUGAGAAAAGAUGAUGCUGUAGCUUUGUUCGUCUUUAUCACUCCUCAUUACAUACUUACAUGUCUAUUAUACCUUUCUCUAUAGUUGUGAUAAAUGAGUUGAAUAAUGUUGUGUGUGACAUCGGGGAGAAAGUAUAAAAAAAUAAUUGUGAAUGGUCAUGCGUAUAUGAACCAUUAAUCAUAAAGC